rnacentral:rRNA from 1 species
AGUGAACGCUGGCGGUAGGCCUAACACAUGCAAGUCGAACGGCAGCACAGUAAGAGCUUGCUCUUACGGGUGGCGAGUGGCGGACGGGUGAGGAAUACAUCGGAAUCUACUUUUUCGUGGGGGAUAACGUAGGGAAACUUACGCUAAUACCGCAUUCGACCUACGGGUGAAAGCAGGGGAUCUUCUGACCUUGCGCGAGUGUAUGAGCCGAUGUCGGAUUAGCUAGUUGGCGGGGUAAAGGGACACCAAGGCGACGAUCCGUAGCUGGUCUGAGAGGAUGAUCAGACACACUGGAACUGAGACACGGCCGAGACUCCUACGGGGGGAAGCAGUGGGGAAUAUUGCACAAUGGGCGAAAGCCUGAUCCAGCCAUACCGCGUGGGUGAAGAAGGACUUCGGGUUGUAAAGCCCUUUUGUUGGGAAAGAAAAGAAGCAGGUUAAUACCCCGCUGUUCUGACGGUACCCAAAGAAUAAGCACCGGCUAACUUCGUG